ACUAAGUUGUGGUUAUGGAGGUUGAUAAACUCAUAUAUUAUUUAUUUUCAUCAGCUUCUUCUUUGGCAUGUUUACAAGGUUGGAGUUAAAUAACAGCACUAUAUUU
rnacentral:snoRNA from 1 species